rnacentral:rRNA from 1 species
AGUCAGGACGAACGCUGGCGGCGUGCCUAACACAUGCAAGUCGAGCGAGGAGAUUCCUCGGGAUGAUCCUAGCGGCGGACGGGUGAGUAACACGUGGGCAACCUGCCUCAUAGAGAGGAAUAGCCUUCCGAAAGGGAGAUUAAUACCUCAUAACAUUGCAGUUUCGCAUGGAACAGCAAUUAAAGGAGCAAUCCGCUAUGAGAUGGGCCCGCGGCGCAUUAGCUAGUUGGUGAGGUAACGGCUCACCAAGGCGACGAUGCGUAGCCGACCUGAGAGGGUGAUCGGCCACAUUGGGACUGAGACACGGCCCAGACUCCUACGGGAGGCAGCAGUGGGGAAUAUUGCACAAUGGGGGAAACCCUGAUGCAGCCAACGCCGCGUGAGUGAUGACGGCCUUCGGGUUGUAAAGCUCUGUCUUCAGGGACGAUAAUGACGGUACCUGAGGAGGAAGCCACGGCUAACUACGUGCCAGCAGCUGC